AAUAUUUUAAUAAUAGAAAUUUGUUCUGUGCUAUUUCAGGAAGAAGAAAAAUGGUAUAAAAAUUUUCCAAUUUCUGAACUACAUAAAUGGAUUACAUCACAUACCCAUCCUUGUGCCCACUCAUUUACAGAGCUCUAAAAGAUAUUCAUUACCCUGGAAACUACUUCUUUUUCUAAAUUCUAACUGGCAAAUGAACUUGUGAAAUACACUGAUUCAACAAUGUCAAGAGGGAUGACAUGAGUUGUGCUAAUCAGGUGACUUUUCUGGAUAACUAGACCCAAUCCCUGUAGAAGCUAAUGGGUUAGAA
rnacentral:lncRNA from 1 species